AACACGAAUCUCGGCAAUGGAUAUCUUAGCUCUCGCCACGAUGAAGAAUGUAGUGAAAUGCGAUACUUAGUGUGAAUUGUAGAAUCCUGUGAAUCAUCGAGUCUUUGAGCGCAAGUUGUGCCAAAGGCCUCAGCCGAGGGCACGUCUGCUUGGGCGUCGCAC
rnacentral:rRNA from 1 species